CCCUUAGAUGUUCUGGGCCGCACGCGCGCUACAAUGAUGAAUUCAACGAGUUUAUAGCCUUGGUUGAAAAGCCUGGGUAAUCUUUUGAACUUUCGUCGUGAUGGGGCUAGACCCUUGCAAUUAUUGGUCUCCAACGAGGAAUUCCUAGUAAACGCAAGUCAUCAGCUUGCAUUGAUUACGUCCCUGCCCUUUGUACACACCGCCCGUCGCACCUACCGAUUGAAUGGUCCGGUGAAAUCUUCGGAUUGAGACUUUGAUUUCUUCACGGAAAACGCUGUUUUAAAAAGUUGAUUAAACCUUACCAUUUAGAGGAAGGUGAAGUCGUAACA
rnacentral:rRNA from 1 species